UGCCAGCAGCCGCGGUAAUACAGAGGGUGCGAGCGUUAAUCGGAAUUACUGGGCGUAAAGAGCACGUAGGUUGGUAUUUAAGUCAGUUGUGAAAGUCUCGAGCUCAACUUGAGGACUGCAUCUGAAACUGAAUGCCUAGAGUUUGGUAGAGGGAAGUGGAAUUUCCGAAGUAGCGGUGAAAUGCAUAGAUAUCGGAAGGAACACCAGUGGCGAAGGCGGCUUCCUGGACCAAUACUGACACUGAGGUGCGAAAGCGUGGGGAGCGAACAGGAUUAGAUA
rnacentral:rRNA from 1 species